CAGAUACGAUGUUGUAUGUGGUAAUACACAAUGUUGAGUAAACUAUAAUUAGAUAAUAAAACAUAACUGAAUAUGUAUAUUUUUUAAAAACUCAAUUAGUUUAUCGUAAUUAUUUAUAAAACAUAGUAAGACUCACAUUGUGCAUAAUAGAAGGAACAUAAUAACUUUCGUCCUUAUAAGAUAAGUGAUAGUAAUCUAAAAAUGUUUGCAGCUCAUUUCGUCCACAUACAAGAAAAUUCUGUAAGUACCUUUUCAAUAGUAUUAUUUGUUACGAAUUAAAUUCAUGUAACAAAUUAUUUCACGUGAUUUUGUUUGGUCAAUAUAUCGUCAUUUGAUGGAAUAUAACUAUUUAACGAAAUUAAUAUAAUGAUUUUUCAUCAGAAAAAGACAGACAGAUCUCUAUGUUUUUAGCUGAAACAAAUUUUAUGUAAAGAAAACAUGUGCACUUAAGUAUAUUAAUGCUCAAGAAUAUGUAGUCUUUUACUCGUUUUUUAUUGUAAAAAUUGCGUACGAAUAUUUAAGUUUGCCCAAAAUAACAAUGUAAAUUUAGAUUUAAUUGCCAAAAUUAGUAAUGGUAAUGUAUAAAAUAAUGAUUUAGUUCAUAUUUUUCCAUUCUCUAGUAGUUACUUUGUUAAAAUUUCUUUGAAUAGUAAAACAUAAAAGAAAUCAAGAAAUAACUUUUUAUUUUAUCUAAUUCUUAGGACGCAUCUGUAUAACAAAUAAAACUGGCGCGCGAUUUCACACCAAAAAAUCAAAAAUUCGCUCGCGGUUAUAGGGUUCAUCAAGUACAACGCAUAAUUUCGGUAAUAUCAUUUAAGUAAUAAUUUCAAAGUUCAAAAUCAUAGAUAAUAUAACAUUUUCUAUGCGUGCAAAUACAUAAUAGUUUUGAUAUGAACAUAAUUGAAUCAUCUUAAAUAAUUCUGUAGUAAUACGACGUGUAAAAAAUUAAUACAGAGUGUACGUAGUUUAUUUAAUUAUCUUAUCUAACAUUCGUCAUAUGACAAAUUUCUCAAUGUAUCUAUUAUUUAUACAUUUUUUUUAGUUUGUAUUGUAGCUAAUAUUAUUAUGCAAAUAAGCAGGUUUACUACUACAAUAAGUGUUCAAUAUGAUGUUCUCUUAAUGGUUUCGGAUUUAAUGUCAAUGCAGGCUUUAAUUAUUUGCUUUAUGUAGCAUAUCGUGUACAUGUAAAGUGCAUGGUAUUAUGUGAUACAUUAAAUAAAGGAUCCACUUUAUUAAAUAGAAUACUGUACUCUUUUGUAUCACAAUUCAAAAGAAUGUUGAAUUUUUAAUGAAAACAUAUGAACUUAAUUAAUAACCUAAUAAAUAAAUAAUGAGAUAUUUGUCUUUGUUUCUCGAAAAUUAGUUUGAAAAUUGGUUUCGCGUAACAUUAAAAUCACUUCAUACUGUUUAAUAAAAGUAAAAUAUUAAAUUGACAUUUGAUAAAAAUCAGUAUAUUUUUACUCAAAGUACAAUAUUUUUAUAAAUUAUUAGACAAUCCGAACUAAACACCUAUAAAAAAGGUACGUACAUUACACAAUAUGUCCCUGAAGAUCAAAUUUAUUUAAUUUUCAAACAUAUUAACUUUUCAUUGAAAGUAAAAUUUUAAAAUUAUUUAAGACGAUCGAGUUCAGCCUCUAUAUUACGUGAAAAGAAAUAGGAGGUAUUAUAAAAUUUAACUAAUUAUUACAAAGAGAUACAAUGGUUAAAUAAAAUGAACAAUGGGUACAUAAUUUCAUAAAGAUUAAUUUAAUAAAACGAGUUAGUACUUAAGUUAUUAAACUCUCUUGAACAUAGUGAAUUAGGGGCUCAGAAAGACUAAUCAAUCAUUUCCUGUAUUGAAUAAUUUACAAAUUGUUAAUCACAUCCACAGCUAAGCAACAAUAAUUCACUGUUUCUCCACUAGUAAAUAAAAAUUUUAUUUUUGAAAUUAAAAAUUAAGAAUAUUUGUAUCUUAUACUUGGGAAGUAUUUACUUAUGCAAGUCUUCUGAUAUUAUUGGUAUUUUACAGCUACCAGUAAAUUGUAGAAGAUUAAAAACUAGGAAAAUACUUUUAGAUCAACAUAAAGUAUAUUUCCAUUAACACUAGAAUUACUAGACUAGUCAAAACGAGUAAUUCAAAAAUGUCUAUUUUACGAUUAUUAAAAUUACAAGUAUGCUUUUGUAAGCAUUUGUUCUUAAAUUUUAAGAAAUGUAUUCUUCCAGGUUUUAGAAGAGAGUCUAAAUGAGUCAUUCUAGUUGCUUGGCAGUUCCAGUAUCAAACCGGAACAAAAUUUUUCUUUAGAUCAUUAUGUCAGGAAAAUCUUCAAAAGUAUUCACGUACUGCUAUAAAGGAAUUGUCAGUCAGCUGUACUGUACAUAUUACCUAUAGCAUAAUAUUGGAUUUACUGUAAAUUGAUUGCUACCUUCCACGAAUACAAUAGGAUAAAAUUCUUAUUACGAAAGCAAUGCACGGGAGGUCAUUUCAGCGAAGAAUAGAAUCCGUGGAGCGACCUUGCGAGACAUUGAAUCGUGCCAAACGACUCGUAAAAAUCAUUGCGAUUUACGACCGGCGUUUAACCCUGAGAGACUUUCAAAGUACCGUUUAAUACAGUCAUAAAAUUACUUAAUAGAGUUAUGAAAAUGACGGAAAAAAUGAAAAAGAAAAGAUAAAAUUGACGGAUUCUUACGUAACAGUUACACAGUGAAUUUGUGAAUGCAUAAACAUUUCAGAACGAAGCGGAAGUCACAUAAAGUAAAAUCGUCGAGGAUGACUUUAUUUUUGGCUGAAACCGUCGAGCCAGGAGGGAAAAAAUAUCACUGGCUUCAUACAGAUCGAAUCACGAAAAGCACUAUCACUUUCAACACUUCAGUGACCACGUUUUUUAUUGUAAACUCUGUCUUAUAAUGUUAUGCUUCUAUCUUCAUAACGUAAAUGCAAUAAGAUCUCGAAUACCCAAUCAAAUUGAGCAUUUAACAAUUCAGAUAAAUGGAGACUUGAGAAGAAAUUUUUCAAAACAUAUGUAUAAAAUUCGAUUGUAUGUAUUUAACCCUGCGGAAUUUAGUUUCAAAAAUUUCUUAUUGUGCACGCAAUAAAAUCAGAUAAUGAAGUGUAUACACGUCGAAUGUAGGUUAAAUGCACUUAUCAUAUAUUCUAACAAGAAACUAGAAUGAAAAGAAGAAGAAUUACAUGUUUGUUUAAAAUAAAUAAUCCAUCGUUUAAAAAGUUAGCAGCAUUUAGAGUUUUAAGAUGACGUGUAUACUCGUCAAACGCAGUUACCUGGUUAAAGAUACAAUCUAAGAAUUGAAAUGACAAAGUUCUAAUUAACACGUUGACUGCCACGGUGAUCAUUGAUGAUCAGAACUUCCAAAUUACUUGAAAGCAAUUACAAUAAAAACAUUAAUACCGAAUGAAAAUAUUUAAUAACGCGAAUAAUUAAAUAAUAGUAUAUUAUACGAACUCUGAUUACAACUCAUUAAUAAUUAGUUUUAACACCAUUCGUCUUUAUCAUGCAAGUCUAGAUCUAGAUCGUGGAAAAUAGUGACUUGGUCAAUCGAGGUCCUACUGUACGUGCAUUAUGUGUUGGAAAAAGUUCGUGCAGGUUUUUAAACCAAAAUUUAAACACAGAGAACGUUUUUGCAAAAUAAUUUUAUUUUAUUUGAUACCAACGUGAUAGACAUAAUUUGUUGUUAAUAGCAAUUUCGUUCAUUACACUAGUAAAAUAUUUAUUGAGAUCGGAGUCUAAUUCAUUUAUACCAAGAAA